rnacentral:rRNA from 1 species
UCUCAGUUCGGAUUGAAGGCUGAAAUUCGCCUUCAUGAAGCCGGAAUUGCUAGUAAUGGCAGGUCAGCAUACUGCCGUGAAUACGUUCCCGGGCCUUGUACACACCGCCCGUCACACCAUGAGAGUUGGGAAUACCCGAAGCCUGUGAGCUAACUUUUAGAGGCAGCAGUCGAAGGUAGAAUCAAUGAUUGGGGUGAAGUCGUAACAAGGUAGC